AUGAAAACCGCUGCCAGGGGGGCAUUUGAACUCCGCCGCUCGCUGUCUCGCUCUCCCCUCUCUGCCCGGUGCACCUCUCUCCCCCCCUCCCGGCCGGCGCGCUCUCCGGCGCGCUCGCUCGCUCUCCCGCUACCCGACGAGUCCUCAACAAGUUGGAGGAAGGCAGGAACGCAGGGGUUAAGCUCGGAAAGCAGCAAUUACCAAGAUCGUGACCCUCCCACACAGUACAGUAACUUAUAUACUUACCUGGAACAGCCUGCUUUGCCGCUGGGCAAACACCCGUUGGGGGCAGGGAGGGGCGGGAGGGGAGCGGGCCGGUUGGAAAGGGACUCCUUCAAGCUGGCUGCAGUGCGGACGGGACCAGCGCGCUCGCGGGGCCUGCGGACCGAGGUAGUUGAACCUGUCUGGACUACUGGAGGUCUGCACAAGGGGUGGCCACUGAAGGAGGGUAUCUCAGAGGCCACGGGAACUGAAGAGUCUGAACCAGUGAGCUCUGGAGUCCCAGGAGUCUCCCGCUGAAGAAAGAAUCUAAAGAGAUGCCUAAGUUCCAGGGAAUUUUCCUCUAAGACAAAUAACGUCAAGAUAGC
ensembl:lncRNA